rnacentral:rRNA from 1 species
GCGAUCAUACCAGCACUAAUGCACUGGAUCCCAUUAGAACUCCGUAGUUAAGCGUGCUUGGGCGAGAGUAGUACUUGGAUGGGUGACCUCUUAGGAAGUCCUCGUGUUGCACCCU